AGGUGUUUUAUGCAGGCUUUGCAGUUUUCAAAGCCAUGAACAAAUCCAAAUGUGGAGGCAUCAAGGAGCCCCCUUAUCAAAGCAGAGACACCCUUUGGGGGAUAGAUACUACCAAUCAUCAGUACAUCUUUUCAUGAUGUAGAAGGAUCGAAAAAAAGAAAGAAAAGGUUGGACUCUGACUUUGAAACAGAGAACAAAAAAGUCGAUGAUGAAACAGAAGGAGUUAGGGAUGACAAAGUAAAAAGAGAGAUCAAAAAAAUGAAAGAGCUCGAUGAUGAAGAG
rnacentral:lncRNA from 1 species